UUUGAUGGCGACCGGCAAACGGGUGCGGAACACGUACACAACCAUUCCUUUAAGUGGGGAAUAGCCCAGAGAAAUUUGGAUUAAUACCCCGUAACAUUGCGAUGUGGCAUCACAUUGCAAUUAUAGCUUCGGCGCUUAAUGAUGGGUGUGCGUAUGAUUAGAUAGUUGGCGAGGUAACGGCUCACCAAGUCUACGAUCAUUAGCUGAUGUGAGAGCAUGAUCAGCCACACGGGCACUGAGACACGGGCCCGACUCCUACGGGAGGCAGCAGUAAGGAAUAUUGGUCAAUGGACGCAAGUCUGAACCAGCCAUGCCGCGUGAAGGAUUAAGGUCCUCUGGAUUGUAAACUUCUUUUAUAUGGGACGAAAACAGACCUUUCUAGGUCCUUUGACGGUACCAUAUGAAUAAGCACCGGCUAACUCCGUGCCAGCAGCCGCGGUAAUACGGAGGGUGCAAGCGUUAUCCGGAUUCACUGGGUUUAAAGGGUGCGUAGGCGGGUAGGUAAGUCAGUGGUGAAAUCCUGGAGCUCAACUCCAGAACUGCCAUUGAUACUAUCUAUCUUGAAUAUUGUGGAGGUAAGCGGAAUAUGUCAUGUAGCGGUGAAAUGCUUAGAUAUGACAUAGAACACCCAUUGCGAAGGCAGCUUACUACGCAUAUAUUGACGCUGAGGCACGAA
rnacentral:rRNA from 1 species